rnacentral:sRNA from 1 species
CGAUUGCGGCAAGCCUAACACAUGCAAGUUGAGCGGCAGCGGAAGGAAGCUUGCUUCCUUGUCGGCGAGCGGCGGACGGGUGAGUAAGGUAUGGGGAUCUGGCCGAAGGCGGGGGAUAACCAUUGGAAACGGUGGCUAAUAUCGCAUAAUCUCUAAGGAGCAAAGUGGGGGACCAUUAUGGCCUCACACCUUCGGAUGAACCCAUAUGAGAUUAGCUAGUAGGUGGGGUAAAGGCUCACCUAGGCGACGAUCUCUAGCUGGUCUGAGAGGAUGAUCAGCCACACUGGGACUGAGACACGGCCCAGACUCCUACGGGAGGCAGCAGUGGGGAAUAUUGCACAAUGGGCGCAAGCCUGAUGCAGCCAUGCCGCGUGUAUGAAGAAGGCCUUCGGGUUGUAAAGUACUUUCAGUCGUGAGGAAGGUGUUAAGGUUAAUAGCCUUAGCAAUUGACAUUAGCGACAGAAGAAGCACCGGCUAACUCCGUGCCAGCAGCCGCGGUAAUACGGAGGGUGCGAGCGUUAAUCGAAAUUACUGGGCGUAAAGGGGCACGCAGGCGGUUAAUUAAGUUGGAUGUGAAAUCCCCUGGCUUAACCUGGGAAUGGCAUUCAAGACUGGUUAGCUAGAGUCUUGUAGAGGGGGGUAGAAUUCCAUGUGUAGCGGUGAAAUGCGUAGAGAUGUGGAGGAAUACCGGUGGCGAAGGCGGCCCCCUGGACAAAGACUGACGCUCAUGUGCGAAAGCGUGGGGAGCAAACAGGAUUAGAUACCCUGGUAGUCCACGCUGUAAACGAUGUCGAUUUGGAGGUUGUGGUCUAGAACUGUGUCCUCCGGAGCUAACGCGUUAAAUCGACCGCCUGGGGAGUACGGCCGCAAGGUUAAAACUCAAAUGAAUUGACGGGGGCCCGCACAAGCGGUGGAGCAUGUGGUUUAAUUCGAUGCAACGCGAAGAACCUUACCUACUCUUGACAUCCAGCGAAGCCUUUAGAGAUAAAGGCGUGCCUUCGGGAGCGCUGAGACAGGUGCUGCAUGGCUGUCGUCAGCUCGUGUUGUGAAAUGUUGGGUUAAGUCCCGCAACGAGCGCAACCCUUAUCCUUUGUUGCCAGCGAUUCGGUCGGGAACUCAAAGGAGACUGCCGGUGAUAAACCGGAGGAAGGUGGGGAUGACGUCAAGUCAUCAUGGCCCUUACGAGUAGGGCUACACACGUGCUACAAUGGCGUAUACAGAUAGAGGCGAGCCUGCGAGGGGAAGCGGAACUCAGAAAGUACGUCAAAGUCCGGAUUGGAGUCUGCAACUCGACUCCAUGAAGUCGGAAUCGCUAGUAAUCGCGGAUCAGCAUGUCGCGGUGAAUACGUUCCCGGGCCUUGUACACACCGCCCGUCACACCAUGGGAGUGGGUUGCAAAAGAAGUAGGUAGCUUAACCUUUUGGAUGGCGCUUACCACUUUGUGAUUCAUGACUGGGGUGAAGUCGUAACAAGGUAACCGUAGGGGAAUCUGCGGUUGGAUCACCUCCUUACCUAGAUAGAUGGAAUGUGAGUGUUCACACAGAUUGUCUGAUGAAAUAGCGCGUAAAGCCAAUCUAAGGUUGACUGAAGAGCUUGAAGUCCCCUUCGUCUAGAGGCCUAGGACAUCGCCCUUUCACGGCGGUAACAGGGGUUCGAAUCCCCUAGGGGACGCCACUUUAGUGAUUUAGAAAGGCUGUGCAUCACUAUUUUAGUGUUGUGCACCGUUCAUGCUUUACGCAAUAAUGAUUAAGCCAAUUCAAUGAGUUGGUUUAACAAUUAUGCUCUUUAACAAUCUGGAACAAGCUGAAAAUUGAAACACACAUUAUUGAAAAAUAGUGUGGAGAACUCUCAAAACUCCAAUCAGUUGGGUUUUUGUUGUCAUGAUGAAAGCGUUAUGAGCGAGCAGUCAGCCAUUCGAGACGGCCAGCGCACAGCGAGCACUGCCCAAUAAAGAAUGGGUGGAGAGGUGCCCAUAACCUAGCAAAAAGGCAGCGUAAGACACCUUCGGGUUGUGAGGUUAAGCGAAUUAAGCGUACACGGUGGAUGCCUAGGCAGUCAGAGGCGAUGAAGGACGUGCUAAUCUGCGAAAAGCGUCGGUAAGCUGAUAUGAAGCGUACUAGCCGGCGAUGUCCGAAUGGGGAAACCCAGUGCAUUGAUGCACUAUCGUUUGAUGAAUCCAUAGUCAAAUGAGGCGAACCGGGGGAACUGAAACAUCUCAGUACCCCGAGGAAAAGAAAUCAACCGAGAUUCCCCCAGUAGCGGCGAGCGAACGGGGAGCAGCCCAGAGUCACCAUCAAAAUUUACCGCAGGAGAAGGGUUCUGGAAAGGCCCGCAAUAAAGGGUGAUAGCCCCGUAUCUGAAGCGGUAAGUGUUGUGAGCUCGAAGAGUAGGGCGGGACACGUGUUAUCCUGUCUGAAUAUGGGGGGACCAUCCUCCAAA